rnacentral:rRNA from 1 species
GACAGAGGUGCCAAGCGUUAGGCGGAAUCACUGGGCUUAAAGCGUGUGUAGGCGGAUCGUUAAGUGCUUUGUGAAAUCCCACAGCUCAACUGUGGAACUGCUUGGCAUACUGGCGAUCUUGAGCCAUCUAGGGGUUGCUGGAACAAACGGUGGAGCGGUGAAAUGCGUAGAUAUCGUUUGGAACGCCAAUGGUGAAAACAGGCAACUGGGGAUGCGCUGACGCUGAGACACGAAAGCCAGGGGAGCAAACGGG